AGUCUGUUCAGAAUGGCAGGCAAUGCCAUUAAAAUGAACUGUGCCAGUAAGCAUUGCCACAGAAACUAUGUACUGAUUUGAAAAAUCAGGAUUCAUAACAAUACAUUUACAUUUAGUCAUUUAGGAGAUGCUGCUUUUAUCCAAAGCGACUUACAAAUGAGGACAAUGGAAGCAAUCAAAUCAACAAAAGAGCAAUUAGCUUAGCUUAACGCAGUACACAUAGUAGUAUAUAGUGCAAAUAUGGAGGAACAACAGCUCAGUUUUAUUAAGAGACUCUAACUGAGCAAAAUAAUUCAAUUCGGUGCAGAUGCUGAUAUCUGUAUAUGCACAAAAAGUGAUGAAUUUCUGCUGCUUGUAAUGUAAAUCAAUGAGAUCUUUCUAACAGUAGAGCAGAUACUGACAUAAAAUGAUCUGAAUAUCAGUCGUCGCUCGAUAUCUUCAUUAAUACGUCUCAGUGAGAUGAGAUGUAAAUGCUCCAAACAUAUAAUGCAGUGAUUGAGAGAUGAAGAAAUAAAGGCUCCUCAGAAGAUGUGAGAUGUUCUGGAGGCUUGUGAAGAUCAUUCCUCCGCUGUAGGAACAGUGAAAGUAAAGCUUCUGGAAACAAACACUCCUCAAAAGAUCCUGAUGAUCAGAUUUGAGACUCUAAAACAUGAUUGAUGGAGAAUCAAGUAAAGCUGAGUAAGAGUUACAGUUAUGCUCUGUGCAGUUUAACUAAAACUCUACACUAUCAAUCAGACGACAGAAGGCAUGGAGCAGAUCAGUAUUUAACUGGUUUGAUUGUACUGCUUAUCUUAUUAUGUGUAGCAUUGGUGUCAUGCAUUGCUUUUUCACUCUCAUGUACAGUUCUCAUAUAUGUAUUAAGUUUAACUUAUUCUAUGUUCACUAUAGUUUCUAUGUCAAACUGCUGAAUCUAUCAGUUCGUGUGAAUGAUGUGCAUUUCUCCUACAUGCCUGAUUUGUGACAGUUACCACGGCAACCACUAGCCUCCCCUAGAGAUAUAUCUAGUGAUGAAUUCAGUGCCUUUUGCAGUACUGUACAUACUGUACACCUGUGGCUCUUACGAUGGUAAUUAUCUUUGCAGCAUUGCUGGAGAAAAAUGCACUGAAUGCCUUUAGAGAAAAAUAUUUUUGUACCAUUAGAUUGAGAAUUAGCAUUCUAUUUUUCAGGUUUCUUUUAACUAUUUAUUUUUUUUAGUAAGUACGGAAUGCCUUUUAGAGAAAAAUAUUUUUUGUACCAUUAGAUUGAGAAUUAGCAUUCAUUUUUCAGGUUCUUUUAACAUUAUUUUUUUUAGAAGACACAUUUGGAUAUACGCCUGUGUUUGAGACAACAAAAGCAGGGUAUCCUCUCCAUAUUAACACGUCUAUUUAUAGCCGCUGCUGCAUACUUUUUUUAGAUCAUGCUGUUGGUGUUCUGCAGUUUCUGGCGACCUGGUGCUCGUCUUCCCUUCACACACAUCAUGAUUUUUCUAAUGCAUGUAGUGCAAUAUUUCCCAAUAGAAAUGACAGAUAUAUGAUUCUGAUGUGGAUGAUAAAAAUAUGAGCGCAGCUGUGACCCCAUCUGGCCGAAAUCCUGAAACCUUUUAAGAAGGCUAAAGCCCUGAAAGACCCCAUACCAUCUCUGACAGAGAACAGAUCGCUUUCAACUCACUGCAUCGAUUCUACACCCACUGCUCGCUUUCAUUGAUGCCAUUAAAUAUUAAGCAUUUCCGAAUGUGAGUGCAUUAUCAUAAAUUUUGAAACUGAGUUUUUGUUUAGUGAAUUAAACCAAAUAUACAAUAUAAUGAUAAUGUGUACAGUUCUUGUGUAAUGCAUUUCCAUCUGUGCUGUUUUGUGUGCAUGUGCAAAAAUAGUGUAUUUAGUACAGCUGCAUGAUUAAUCAAUAUAAUACCAAAUGAUAUGGUUUGAAAAUAUGAAAAUGAAGAAAUAAAUUUUACACUUACAAUUUAAAAUGAAAUUAUUGUUAUUUUUGUUAAAUAGUCUUUUUAUUGUACAGUGAAAUAUUACAACAGUAAUAUGUAUUUAUUUUUAUUUUUUAAUAAUAAUAAUUUGUAUUAUUUUUUAGCAAUAUUGAUAUUUAAUUUAGCAGUAGUAGUAACAAUAAUAAUAAUUAUUAUUUGUAGUCAUAUUAAUAAAAUCACAACAUUUUUGUCCAAACUGUGUCAGAUUUAGUCCAAUAUUAAUAUUGUUUCAUAUCUUUUUAUUUAGUAGAAGCAAUAGUAGUACUUUUAAUAGUAAUAUUAAUACUACUACUACUACUACUAAUAAUAAUAAUUAUAGCUAUACUGACAUAAUCACUCGAUUUUGUCCAAAAUUUUGCAUCCCUGCAAACAAGCACAGCAAACCUGGAUUUUUUUUUCUUUUUUCUCAGAAAAAUCUUAAUUAGUAUUUCCCACAUCGUGCAUCCCUACUGUAUAUAAUACACAUACAUGCCUGUCUAUCCGUUUGUCUAUAAUACAAUGCACGUCAAUUAACUGGCGAAAUAGCGUCAAUGAUAUUAGAGUUUUAAAUUAGAGUUUAGAGUUUACCAACGUAUGAAUGUUUCCGAGCAUUUAAGAGUAUAAACGUAACUUUUACUACGACAGAACAAUGUAAGUUUCCCUGCGAGACGCAAACACGUAGCGGAUACGUUUCCUGUUUCUCCUACAGGCGCUUUGUUGAGGCAGCGGACGGACCGUACCAUUCAUCUGUAGGGGAACCCGACCGCGCUAACAACUACAGUGCUGACUCUGCUCACACGGAAAACACACACUUUUCAAGUAAAUCGAGGUUUUAUGUAUAUAUAACUAAUUUAAAUCACAUUUGCGCUUUUAUACAAUAAUUUUAACAUGUUGUAGAAAAGCGGUGUUUUUUGGUUCACCCCUACGCCGCGCCUGUUGCCAUGUUCCCGGCUCCCUUAUGGGUGUGGUGAAGAGAUCGCUGGCAAAAACUGCCUCAGUUUGCGUGAGGGCUGCGCGGCCCUUUAAAUGCGUUUAAAAUCGACUUCCAAUGAAUUAUUCUGCUUUGAAAUUCAUCUGUGCGCAUAUCAACAUGCAAGGGAUCUGAAAGAAGCGGAUUUUCGCCCGAACUAGCCUGAUCAGGUGAGGGGAAAAAAACAGUCGUCCGCCGUCUUUCUCUUUUCUCGUCUAUUUCCUGCUUGUAAAAAGCUCGUAAACUGUGAUUUACUGACACCGCUGAACUCCUUUGUACUGUUUUUGGGGGUCAACGAUGGAUUGAAUCUCGAUUUAGUAGCUAAUUAGUUAAUUUUUUAAUCUGCUAGUUAUGGUUGAGGGUGAAGAGGCAACAGGAGGCCCGAUAAACACAAGCGCUCAGUUUGAAUUUUAACGGUUUUUUAAACUUGUUAAGUGUUUGCUCGCGCUAGUUAACCAUCUAAAUGGUAGUUUGGUGAAGUGGUUAAAUAUCUGGGUGAUAAAUGAAAGGUAGUGGGUUUAAAUCUCAGCUUGGUUGUCGUAUUUUGUCCUUGAUCGACACACAAUCUCGAGUUACUAUAAACACGAACUGUUGUUUUUGAAUCAAAGUCUUACUUGGAUGCAUAAAUGUGAAUGCAGUCUGCAAGCAGUUGUAUUUUGAAGAUACAUCUUCCAGCGAAGUUGGCAGAAUUCAUUUUUUUAAAUCACUUUUAAAGUAUUUUGUGAAGGACACCAAUAGCUGAGAUUGCUGGGGUAAAGCUAAUAGUUUUACUUUCACUUUACCUUUCAGAAAUCUCAUUCUGUUUUGAUUUAAGUGAAGUUUUUAAGCUUUAAUAAUUCUGAUAUUUACGGGCCUCUGAUGCAGUCUUCUGAUGCAAUAAUCGUAGAUAUUGUUGGUUAAUUUAAACUUGUUUUCAAGUUAGAAUGGUCACGUGUUAUAUUCUAACUGAAUCAUUUCAUAUUUCAGUAUUUAUUAGUGAUUUCAUGUUUUAUAUAACGUUACACGUGUUAGAUUUUAUUGUUAUUUGUGAUUGUGUGUAAUAUCGUUGAGUUCCUGAAGGACACCAAU
rnacentral:lncRNA from 1 species